rnacentral:rRNA from 1 species
UGAAAUUGUGUCCUGCGGUGUCGGUCUACCGAAUGCGGUACGACAGGCACGUCUGCGGGGCUUCUCGCCGGUGCGUCCACCGCCGGCGUGCGUCGGUCGGCCUCACGGUCGGCCGCGCACCGAGGCGGGCCGUCGCGGCUGUUUACUUUGAACAAAUUAGAGUGCUCAAAGCGGGCUAACACUUGCCUGAAUAUUGUACGCAUGGAAUAAUAGAAUAGGACCUCGGUUCUGUUUUGUUGGCUUUCUGAUACCAGAGGUAAUGAUUAAUAGGGACGACUGGGGGCAUUCGUAUUGAGACGUUAGAGGUGAAAUUCUUGGAUCGUCGCAAGACGGACUAAAGCGAAAGCAUUUGCCAAAGGUGUUUUCAUUAAUCAAGAACGAAAGUUAGAGGUUCGAAGGCGAUUAGAUACCGCUGUAGUUCUAACCAUAAAUGAUGCCAGCCAGCGAUCCGCCGAAGUUUCAUAAUUUUAACCCGGUGGGCAGCUCCCGGGAAACCAAAGCUUUCGGGCUCCGGGGGGAGUAUGGUUGCAAAGCUAAACU